CAGAACUCCAAAAACCUCCAUAAUGCCAGGAAACAACACCAACACUAAACCAUCAAUUUUUUUGUAUUCACCUCGUACAAAAGAACUUGAAAAAGAUGCCUCUUCCCUUAUUAGCAUUAUAUGCCUUGUUAAGGGCUUCUAUCCAAAAAACGUCAACGUUACCUGGCAGCAAAAUGGAAGUCCCAUGAAUGCCAGCCAAGUAUUAAACAGUGAACCCCAGUUAAAUAAUGGAUCAGGAGACAACACAUACGCCAUGUUCAGUAUGAUCACCAUCUCCAAAGACAAAUGGAAAAAGAAAACCUGGUAUACCUGCAAUGUGCGUCACAUGACAAAUGGCAAUGAAACCCUGAUCAAAGAAAUAUCUGUUGAAGACCUCGGGGCAUGGAUUACUGGCCCAGAAGAGCUCAGGGCAUGGAUUACUGGCCCAGAUUUGUUUGUAGAUGAGAACUACAUCUGUGAAGAAGAGGACAAUUUUCUCUGGACCAUAGGAUUCAGCUUCAUCACUUUGUUCCUCAUUAGCACAUCCUAUGGCGCUGUAAUCACAUUCAUUAAGACAAAGUGGCUUAUUUCAAGAAUUCUACACCUGGAAACGCAUGUCCUUCGGAGGUAACCAGCUGCUGAAGGCUAUACUAAACUGUGAAACCCAUCUAUUGACAUAUAUCGAUUUAUCUAUAUUUUUCUGUACCCUUAAAUAAAAGUUUGAUUAUG